UGGGGAAUAUUGGGCAAUGGGCGAAAGCCUGACCCAGCAACGCCGCGUGAGGGAAGAAGGUUUUCGGAUUGUAAACCUCUGUCCUAAGUGACGAAGGAAGUGACGGUAGCUUAGGAGGAAGCCCCGGCUAACUACGUGCCAGCAGCCGCGGUAAUACGUAGGGGGCGAGCGUUGUCCGGAAUGACUGGGCGUAAAGGGCGUGUAGGCGGCUUUUUAAGUCUGGAGUGAAAGUCCUGCUUUCAAGGUGGGAAUUGCUUUGGAUACUGGAGAGCUUGAGUGCGGAAGAGGUAAGUGGAAUUCCCAGUGUAGCGGUGAAAUGCGUAGAGAUUGGGAGGAACACCAGUGGCGAAGGCGACUUACUGGGCCGUAACUGACGCUGAGGCGCGAAAGCGUGGGGAGCGAACAGGAUUAGAUACCC
rnacentral:rRNA from 1 species